rnacentral:rRNA from 1 species
CAGUCGCCGCGGGAAUACAGAGGGUGCGAGCGUUAAUCGGAUUUACUGGGCGUAAAGCGUGCGUAGGUGGUGGUUUAAGUCCGUUGUGAAAGCCCUGGGCUCAACCUGGGAAUUGCAGUGGAUACUGGGUCACUAGAGUGUGGUAGAGGAUAGUGGAAUUUCCGGUGUAGCAGUGAAAUGCGUAGAGAUCGGAAGGAACAUCUGUGGCGAAGGCGACUAUCUGGGCCAACACUGACACUGAGGCACGAAAGCGUGGGGAGCAAACAGGAUUAGAUACCCGAGUAGUCCCUGUCUCUUAUAC